CUCUUCUUCCUGACAGACUGAAGCUUCUCUUCUUUCGUCUUUUUCCUCCCUCAAGGAGACUUCCCGUCAUAUGAGUUCCGGGAGGAAACGAGCUACGGUGGCCGGCUGAGGUCUAAACUCCUUCGCGAAUUUAAGAGGAAAACUGGAACUUGUAUAAGUGCUGUAUGAAAGACUUUAUUAUAAAUUGUAAUGUACAUUUGGAGGAACAUUGUACUGAUGCCAUGGCACAGCUGUUGGUUUCCAAGGAGUCACUUUUUAAAAUGCAAAACUCAUUUCUCAAGGCCAGAAAAUGGAGAAAGGCCUUGCAAGAGCACAAGGACAGACCUGAAAGGUGCAACCAAAGAGGGCUGCCAGCUCUUCCCGCUGCUGCAGGAGCUGAGCCACGUCGUCUUGUAACUUCUUCUUCUCUUGCUGGAGCUUGAAGAUCUGGAGCUGCAAAGCCUGCUGGGCCCUCUGGGCCUUCUUGGAGACCUGUUGCAGUUUGUUGGCAUAGUUCUGGCGAAGGUCGUCCAUCUCCCGCUCCCAGAUCUUCUGCUUCUCCUCAAAGACCUGGUAAAUGGCCGCCUCGCUCUUGUCCAGGUUCCUCCUCAUCUGGAGGACCUCUUGCUCCUUCUCCCACAGCCGGUCCUCCAAGUCCUGGAUGAUGUCGUCCGUGGAAGGAGAGUGGAAAGGCAUCGUUUCAUUGAGAUGGUUGAGCCGACUGAAGGAAGAGGUGCUCUUGCUGGAAGACCGCCCGCUGUCUGAGGGUCCUGUGCGCCCAACCAGAGCAAAUAUGAAGAGUCGACUAUACUCGAGCUGCAAGGAGAGGCAGGUAAUAAAAUUAUUAUUAUUUUUAGUAGUAGUUGUUGUAGCAAUAGUACUCUGUCUACACAGUACUCUCAAUCUGCUUUGAUUCAGAUGUUUUCUAUAGGCUCUUCUGGGCAUCUUCAGCAUCCUUCUUUGGAAUUUUCUAAACAGAGGCUGGAUGGCCAUCUGUCAGGAGUGGUCAGUGUGGGUAUUUCUCUAUGGAACAAUGGGGUUGGACAGGAUGACUCUGGGGUUCUAUGGUUCUAAUUCACUAUGUAACACUAUUUUUGAUCCUGGGUUAUAAAUGUAAUUUCCAAAUUGGUUCUAUCAUAAAAACAUGGGAAAAGCACAUUUCACUCUAGUCUUUCAAUGUGUAUCUUAAAGAGUCUCAACCAAUUCAGCCUAGUUUGUGGCAGCCGUAGAAACAAAGUUUCCGGAGUAUAACAACUACCUUCAAAGUAAGUACCACACAAUUAAAUCAGAAAUAACACUUUCAAAACAGAAAAAUUUUCAGAUUUUGUUACAUAGUGUUAUUAUUAUGAUUAGCAAUUCGCUUCAUGGUAUCAGUCCUUUCUGCUAACUUUCCUAGAACUGAAAUGCAACACAAAAGUGUUCUAAAAUAAAUAAAUACAAAAUUAAAUGCCAACUUUGUGUCAAGAAGAGGGAAAUAGGGCCAACACUAUGCUGGAUAUUGCUUCUCCUGUGAACAUUUAUCCUUCUUUCAUUGUUGCACAAUUGCAAUACAAUUUUGGUGGGACAUUCGCUAACCAAGACAGAGGAAUCCCUUUCUUUUGGGGAGAUCAAUGGCACCUCACCUGGUCUAGUUUCCCAGAGAUUGGCAAUAUCUUUGGUGGGUUAUUGGGCUCUCUGUACUGGGGAGGUGGUGGGAUGUUCUUCUCAUUGUUGGCUGCCACGUUCCCGCAGAGAUCCGCCUUCACUUUCUCGCUCUUGCGCAGGUCCCCGUUGAUGUAGAUCUUCUCCGACUUGUAGGUCUUCUCCUCCCCAGAGUAGCGGUUGGUGAUCUCCCGUGGAAUGUAGCUGUUCCGGGACCCGUCCACCUGCCGCCCGCCGUUCUGAGUCCUGGUCCCUACGCUCUUCAUGGCAAAUUCCUGCUCGCCGGCGACGCCGCUGCCCACGCUUCCCAUGCUGCUUUGGGAGGCGGAUUCGGAGAGCCUGGGCUCGAAGGGGCGGAAGGCUUCUUGGCCGCGGUAGCUGGGGUCACUAAGGACAGAGAGGGCCUCUAGUUUGGCCAUGGCAAGGUCUGGAAGUUGAGGCACGAGUCAGUGGCACUGGAAGAGGAGGAGGGAAAGAAAGAAAAACAAAUGAGUAAAGCAAACAUUUCUCAUGUGCUUGCAGAUAGCUAAUUCUUCAGCCUUAUGUUGUAUUUACACUAUCAGAUUAUUGCAGUUUGACACCACUUUGAAUGGCAAAGAAGGCUAAAGAUCAUAUAAAACUAAAACUCCCAAUGAUCCCAUAGCACGGAGCCAUGGCAGUUCAAGGGGUGUCAAACUAUAUUAAUUUGACAGUGCAGACGCAGCCCCAGAGAAGCGAAGUGGCACCAGAGUUGAAGAGUAAAGAGCAUGACUGUAUUAGUGUUAGGGUUAUCAGAGUGGAAACUGGGGACAGCUUUUAUAUCUCUAAUAGUUGCGCAGAAGAGGGAAUUUCAGCAGGUGUAAUUUGUGAUCUGGCCGAAUUGCAAGCAACAGCUUCUGAAGAUGCCCUCUUCUACACAGCCAUCAAAAGUACUUGGGCCCUCCUUAGUUUCCAUCCUGGUAACCCUACUUAGGCUGGAUGGCGCCUACAUUGCUACUAUCUAUUAGCAUUUUACUAUGUUGCUUCAUUCCAGCCCUACAUUAGUUGAGUUUCUCAUGCUCAGGGCCACCCCAGGGUGCCUUCCACACUAUAUAAUUCUGUCACUAUGAUUCCACUUUGAACUGCCAUGACACCAUCGUAUGGAAUCCUAGGACUGUUUGGUGAGGCACUAUGGCUGACCAAAAAACCCUAACCCAAACUACAAAAUCCAUGAUUCCAUAUAAUGCCAUGGUGGUUAAAAUGGAAUCACAGCAAGUGUGUGGUAUAAAAGGGAAUUGGGUUGACCAAUCUCCCAUCUGAUAUAUCUAAGCAUGCAGGGAUUCACAGUUGAACUCUUUGUGUGCUCUGUUGUCUAUGACUCAUGUGUAACCCCAGUCUUCUCACCAUCUAGUAUUCCUCACAUUUCACUGAUGGGAGAAAUUUAAGAGUGGGAUUUUGGUGAUUUUUCGGGCGGAACGGGGAAUCCUAGCAGAGCGAAUCCUCCUAUUAGCUGGUGGCCACCGUCUCUCUUUCCCCAAUCCCAGGCAGCAUCCACGUGGAUUGUUAUUCUUAAAAGUGCCAAACUAUGUUGAUUGUAUUAUCCUUCAAAAGAGAUGGAUGCCACCAUGCCCAUUUGUUCCAACUGGAAAAGAUCAACGAGACAUGUCCUUUAUUCCUCAAAGACAACACAGGAUCCAACACUCAAGACUUCUCCUCAAACUGGACAAAAUAUCUCCGUCAUCUUUAGCUAAGUUUUAUGAUGGAGGCUGGAAUCACCAAUUGCUCUUUAGGACAAUUAGCACAUAAUGUCUUUUUAUUAAAAAGAAGAGGAGGAGGAUUGCAGAGGGUAAAGCUUCUCGUGUUUUGGUUUCUUCUAAUUUCUGUUUGUCUCGAAAACUGUAAGAUAGAGGCGAGAACUCAACAGUUGGGAAGUCACUUUUGAGAAGAAGAUUCCAUGCAAUGAUUGUUCCUCCAAAUCAACCCAAAUGUUUCAGCUGAAGUUUCCCAGGAGCGGUUUUUGUUGCAAAAUGUUAUUGGGGACACCAAAACAGCCAAAAGGUUCCAGAAAUGCCCCUCCACAAAGCAACAAGUAGUGAUAACGCAUCAUAUCCAGUCAUCCAGAAUGGCAGCAGCGUGGUCUGCCCAGGUACCCCAAAAUGUCUCUCCACAAGCUCUUGUUCAACCAUGGUGGCCUAUGGGGAUACAUUUGCCCUUCAGUCCCCCUCUCCCACCUUAUUCUCAUGCAUUUUCUCAUGCUCCCAACGACCAUUGCAACAUUAGUAUCUUACUAGGCAAAGCACCAUAAAAACCCCAGCUAACCUUCACGUACAGCCGCAUGUCACAACAAGUGCGCAACUACAAAGUCACUCAUACAGAACAACCACUUCCCCGUGCAACACACACCUAUCGUACGACAAACAUGCAUCUUCCAGGCAACUACAAAUGCAGCCAUACUCACAAACACAGACUUUACAGAGCAGAAACUUUCACUGUAAUAGUUCAAUACAAGUGCACUACCAUAUGCGCAAGACACCAAUGCCACUCUGACUACGCAUACCAGAUAAUAUCACAACGGUUAUGCUGAUAUUGUUCCCCCCUUCUCUUUCAUACUGAGCCUAGUUUGUAUGAAAUGUGCAAAGAAAGAGGAAAAAAGAACGGGAGUUCUUAAGAAACCCUAAACAAACAAUCACAACACAAACAAGGUUAAGACUGUAGAGAAGAUGUAAUGUUUUGUGACUCGUUUCAGGUAGGAAGCAAAGCAGCCUUUUUGAAGCCACUGGUCAACAUUUCAAAUCCUCAGGUAAGAUGGUAAACUCACUCCAAUUUUUAAUCUUGCAGCCGGUUGCUGCAGUUCCAGGUUUAUGAGUGCAACUAUACUGUUGAAUUAAUGCAGUUUGACACCACUUAGACUAUCAUGUCUCAAUGUUAUGAAAUCGUGGGUUUUGAAGUUUGGUGAUGCACCAAAGAAGGAGGCUAAGUAUCCCCCAUGGCACUGAGCUGUUACAGUUAAAGGGAUGUCAAACUGCAUUCAUUCGAUAGUGUAGAUCAGGCGUGGGCAAACUUGGGCCCUCCAGGUGUUUUGGACUCCGACUCCCACAAUUCCUAAUAGCCUCAGGCCUCUUCCUUUCCCCCCUCAGGCCCCCAGGAAGGGGCCUGAGGCUGUUAGGAAUUGUGGGAGUCGGAGUCCAAAACACCCGGAGAGCCAAAGUUUGCCCAUGCUGGUGUAGAUGCACCCUCAGUUAGCUCUCCGUUAUGAAUAUAUCUUAGCAUUGAAUAUAUCUUUGCUUGCAUCCUGCAGGACUUUUCAUUGUCUUUCUAUAGCAAGAGAUACAUCAUAUGGUGGGAUUACCUAUCCAUCUUGGCCAUAAUAGAGCUUUAUGCCUAAUAAAAAUAGCAGCUUGGGGAGGGUACUUUUUCAAAUGAUACCUAUAGUAGGUAAGAAAGGGUUAAUUUUCUGUUUCCCCUCCACUGACUGCAGUCUUAUCAGCCUUCCUUAUUGCAUUUCAGGAAAAACCAUCUGCAAUAAAUGCAAAAGUCUAAUUUGGCCUGAAGAUGGUUAACGGUCUUUUCCCAGGGCAAUUUCUGUUAUCUGAUCAUUGUAAAGGGUGGCCGACUGAAGA